rnacentral:rRNA from 1 species
AUUGAACGCUGGCGGCAUGCUUUACACAUGCAAGUCGAACGGUAACAGGCCUUCGGGUGCUGACGAGUGGCGAACGGGUGAGUAAUGCAUCGGAACGUACCCAGAGGUGGGGGAUAACGCAGCGAAAGCUGUGCUAAUACCGCAUGUGAUCUGAGGAUAAAAGCGGGGGACCGAGCAGCAAUGUUUGGCCUCGCGCCUUUGGAGCGGCCGAUGUCGGAUUAGCUAGUUGGUGGGGUAAAGGCCUACCAAGGCGACGAUCCGUAGCUGGUCUGAGAGGACGACCAGCCACACUGGGACUGAGACACGGCCCAGACUCCUACGGGAGGCAGCAGUGGGGAAUUUUGGACAAUGGGCGCAAGCCUGAUCCAGCAAUGCCGCGUGCGGGAAGAAGGCCUUCGGGUUGUAAACCGCUUUUGGCAGGAACGAAACGGUGUCCGCUAAUACCGGGCGCUAAUGACGGUACCUGCAGAAUAAGCACCGGCUAACUACGUG